rnacentral:rRNA from 1 species
CGGAAUUACUGGGCGUAAAGCGGGCGUAGGUGGGUCGUUAAGGCUGUCGGGAAAGCCCCGGGCUCAACCUGGGAAUGGCGAUGGAUACUGGCGGGCUAGAGUGCGGUAGAGGAGAGUGGAAUUCCCGGUGUAGCAGUGAAAUGCGUAGAGAUCGGGAAGAACAUCAGUGGCGAAGGCGGCCUGCUGGGCUGUUGCUGACGCUGAGGCGCGACAGCGUGGGGAGCAAACAGG